rnacentral:rRNA from 1 species
UAGGGAAUCUUGCGCAAUGGGCGAAAGCCUGACGCAGCCAUGCCGCGUGAAUGAUGAAGGUCUUAGGAUUGUAAAAUUCUUUCACCGGGGAAGAUAAUGACGGUACCCGGAGAAGAAGCCCCGGCUAACUUCGUGCCAGCAGCCGCGGUAAUACGAAGGGGGCUAGCGUUGCUCGGAAUUACUGGGCGUAAAGGGCGCGUAGGCGGAUGUUUAAGUCGGGGGUGAAAGCCCGGGGCUCAACCUCGGAAUUGCCUUCGAUACUGGACAUCUUGAGUACGGGAGAGGUNAGUGGAACUCCGAGUGUAGAGGUGAAAUUCGUAGAUAUUCGGAAGAACACCAGUGGCGAAGGCGACUCACUGGCCCGUUACUGACGCUGAGGCGCGAAAGCGUGGGGAGCAAACAGGAUUAGAUACCCUGGUAGUCCACGCCGUAAACGAUGAGUGCUAGUUGUCGGCAUGCAUGCAUGUCGGUGACGCAGCUAACGCAUUAAGCACUCCGCCUGGGGAGUACGGUCGCAAGAUUAAAACUCAAAGGAAUGACGGGGUCAUAGCUGUUUCC